UUCUAUAUUCAUACAAGCCUGAAUGUGUUUAAUCUUGUCUGACCUACCAAGCUAAGCAGGGAUGGGCAUGGUAAUUAAUUUGAUGGGAGACUGCCUAGGAACACUGGGUACCAUAAUUA
rnacentral:rRNA from 1 species